AAUAUUUCUUUUAUUAAAACUGCUAGAACGUUCUUGAUUCGGUCAAUACGCGCGAUGCCUCGUGCCUUAGCAAUUCGAACAAGCCGCUUGGAAUCCGCCGAUUCGGCAUCGCCUGAUCGCGACCUCCAAGGUGGCUCGUGGAUACCCUUAGUAACGACUAAAAAUCCCGUCACGACGAUCGCUUACGAGCUCUCGUCGCCGUGGCGAGGAUUUUUGUACAUCAGUUGCGUUUGCUCGCUCUAGACUGUCGGUCGUCCCCGUGGAUAACUCCGUAACUCACUCAGCUAGCUCGCGGUGGGGUAAUAAAUCCUGGCACAAUUAUACAGGCGAACCACACACAUAAGUCUGGGUUUCGUCAACAAACGUGAAGUGACGCAUUGCCUCUUGACUCACGAACGUUCUAUGUCCGAGUCCCACGACUCAUUAGUGCUAAAAUUCCAAAUCUUCUCGUUUGACUUUGUGUAUGUGUGUAUGUGUGCGCGGGCGUGUGUGUUAGGCCGCGCGUUAAUUGUAGCGUGGUCCUGUUUUUUGUGUGUGGGCGGAAGAAUCGUUUCCGCCGGAAUUGAAAAUGAACGACAUACAGUUCCGUUCGGAUCUUCAUCAUAAGGUGUCCAACAACAAAUCGAUCACGUACCAUCGAUUAUGCAAAACGAGGUACAGGAACAAGGCUGAGACUCACCUCACCACACCACUCAACACGAAGUGGCACGAGAAACGAAAUAUACAUGCGACCGCGUUCUCAAAACUCAAAAAAACGGCAAUAUUUUAUCCCCGUCGGAUGAUGAAGAGGAUAGAAGUGAGGAACAAGAUGCCAACAUGAGAAGCGAGGAAGACAGCGAGGGUGAAAAUGACGAAGAUAAUGAGAAUGAUACUGAGGACAACAGUGGAGAUUCCGACACCUGAAUUGUUUGCAUACGAAAAUAAAUUUUAAAAACGUCGAAAAAGUGCCUACAAUUUUUUUUCUUAAUAGGGGAAAUAUGCGUACGUUCUCGUCGUAUGGCAUACCUAUAGCACUGCACUGCCAGUAUGGCUUUAUUUUUCGCAAAUAUGGUUUGACAUUAACUUUCGAAAAAUUUAAAUGCAAUCGUUUAAACAUUUUUUUUUUUUACAUUGAAACUCGAGUGUGAUAUAUUACGGAUCCAUGGUCAAAGUAUAACACAUUUUUUUAGGUAUAUUCGUGUUGCCACUGAAGAAAUACGACAACACCAUACUUUAAUAAAUAAUUUUACAUUUCAUAAAUAUUUAUCUCAAAAUCAGCUGAUAAAUAACCGUUUUUGAGGUACGGCACCAUACUUUGACUUUAUUAAAAGUAUGGCAGGUUUUUCAUUUUGUUUCAAGGCAUUAUAAGCUAUCCACGAUUCAAGUGCCAUACUGUAGAAAAUCGGUUUGUUUAAAUAAAAAAAUUACACCUUUGCGGUUGUAUGGCAACUACUUAAAACCGUCAUACAGGUAUGGCAUUAGAAAUUUCGUGAAUAUUUACUUGAGGGUUGUCGUUUAAAAAAAAAAUCAGCCUGUGCAGUAUGAUUAAAAAAACAAUACUUCAUUAACGAGAUCUAAUUAGUAUGGCGGGCCAUUAGCACCACCAAAAAAGUAUGGCAUUAUGCUAGCGCCCACUUUAUUUUUUAUGAACUCCAAGAAUAUGUCUGAGUUUUUGUGUCCCGAUUUGUUUGAAAACCGUAAUUUUUCUGAUAAAAUUGUUUAAUUAUUCUGCAAUAAUGCCCCAACGGUGAACCCUAGGAUUGUCAUUUUCACUUCUCGGAUUGCCUAAAUCGACCUUCUAAGGAUCGCCAUACAGGGGUAAAUAUUCGAUAUCGCUGCACCAGCGAUAAUCGGACUGAAUUUUUUUUCCUGUUUCCUAAUAACUUGGUUAAACCAUGGCCAGUCAUAUUAAGCAGGCGCAUGGUCUUAAAAAAAAAAUUAUUUUUUCAGUUGUUUUACAAAUUUGACAAAGUUUACAAAUUUUGUUCGACAAAUUUUGUGUGUGCGCGUGCGCGUGGGUGUGUGUGUGUGUGUGUGUAUCAGGAACUGUCGGGUUUGUUUGCACUUCAUUGACGAUGAUGAGACUAUCAUUUGAGUGGCUACAUCGCCGAUUUCCUUUUCCGUCGUGCACAUCCAUCCCACAGUUUUGGUUUAUUUGGGUUUGUUCGGUUGUUUGCGUUUGUUCGGAUUGUUCGGGUCAUGAUUGCAGAGUUGGAGGACGAGUGGAAGUGAGACUGAGAGUCAAAUAUGUGUUAAAUAUAAUAAUAAUAAGAAUAAUAAUGUUUUCUACCUAAAAAACGUCAUGCGCCUACAUAAAAAACCUUUUUACAUUGAUCACAGGUCAUAAAAAAGACGUAAAAAAAAUUUCAGCCCGAUUUUCGCUGGUGCCGCGAUAUCGAAUAUUUACCUUCAUGUCAAGGAUUUUAUGACGGCCAAAAUUUGAAUUUGCGG